GUCCCAUUUCUUCCGAUGUGUGGAAGUCUGCCUCUGUGAGCUGCGAGCUCCGGUCAAGCCACGCUGUCAGCACCCUGGUGAGGUACUGGUCGCGUGUGCGGUAGGCCCCCGGUCCCUUGAUGCGGCUUUUCGUGCCCGACUUUUGAAAGAAAGGCAUCUGCGGGUUCAGCAAGGUGUCAGGAGGUUGUGCUUGUCGCCUGUUGUAG